UAGGGAAUCUUCCGCAAUGGGCGAAAGCCUGACGGAGCAACGCCGCGUGAGUGAUGAAGGUCUUCGGAUCGUAAAACUCUGUUAUUAGGGAAGAACAAAUGUGUAAGUAACUAUGCACGUCUUGACGGUACCUAAUCAGAAAGCCACGGCUAACUACGUGCCAGCAGCCGCGGUAAUACGUAGGUGGCAAGCGUUAUCCGGAAUUAUUGGGCGUAAAGCGCGCGUAGGCGGUUUUUUAAGUCUGAUGUGAAAGCCCACGGCUCAACCGUGGAGGGUCAUUGGAAGCUGGAAAACUUGUGUGCAGAAGAGGAAAGUGGAAUUCCAUGUGUAGCGGAGAAAUGCGCAGAGAUAUGGAGGAACACCAGUGGCGAAGGCGACUUUCUGGUCUGUAACUGACGCUAAUGUGCGAAAGCGUGGAGAUCAAACAGG
rnacentral:rRNA from 1 species